UGAGCAGCUUCAGGUGGAGCUCAAGCACGACCACCAAGAGGCACCACCGCAGCAACAGGGCGACUGUGGAAGGCAUGUUGUAUUUCUGUCAGCCCAGUCCUGACUAUGUCUGUCCGUGAGUCCGACAUUUGAUCGCUGUUGAAGGAGCUCCAUGCUGAAGAAGAGAACACUUGUAGAGCUUGUAACAUUACUUGGAGAGCUUGUAAAGUACUGUAGAGCUUUGCAUUUGUAGAGCUUGUAAAGCAUUGUAUAUGUUAGAGCUUGUAUUACGUGUCAUUUGUAGAGCUUGUAGUGAAUCUGGCUAUUGUUAUUUGAAUAAUCAUGUGUGUUUUCUGCUUGC